rnacentral:rRNA from 1 species
AGUGAACGCUGGCGGUAGGCCUAACACAUGCAAGUCGAACGGCAGCACAGUAAGAGCUUGCUCUUACGGGUGGCGAGUGGCGGAAGGGUGAGGUAUGCAUCGGAUUCUACUUUUUCGUGGGGGCUAACGUAGGGAAACUUACGCUAAUACCGCAUACAACCUACGGGUGAAAGCAGGGGAUCGUCGGACCUUGCGCGAUUGAAAAAGCCUAUGUCGGAUUAGCUAGUUGGCGGGGUAAAGGCCAACCAAGGCGACGAUCGGUAGCUGGUCCGAGAGGAUGAUCAGCCAGCUGGGAACUGAGACAGGGCCCAGACUCCUGAGGGAGGCAGCAGUGGGGAAUCUUGGAGGAGGGGGGCAAGCCGGAUCCAGCCAUACCGCGUGAGUGAUGAAGGCCUUCGGGUGGGAAAGUCCUUUUGUUGGGAAAGAAAAGCAGCAGUUUAAUACGCCGCGGUACUGACGGUACCGAAAGAAUAAGCACCGGCUAACUUCGUG